rnacentral:rRNA from 1 species
UACGAACCGUCCAAACGUUAUUCGGAUUCAUUGGGCUUAAAGGGUACGUAGGCGGCGCUAUCAGUCGGGUGUGAAAUUCCUCGGCUCAACCGAGGAACUGCGCCCGAUACUGUAGUGCUUGAGGGAGACAGAGGUAAGCGGAACUGAUGGUGGAGCGGUGAAAUGCGUUGAUAUCAUCAGGAACACCGGUGGCGAAAGCGGCUUACUGGGUCUCUUCUGACGCUGAGGUACGAAAGCUAGGGGAGCGAACGGG